rnacentral:rRNA from 1 species
UACAGAGGGGGCAAGCGUUGUUCGGAAUUACUGGGCGUAAAGGGCGCGUAGGCGGCCCGCUAAGUCGAACGUGAAAUCCCCGGGCUCAACCCGGGAACUGCGUCCGAUACUGGUGGGCUCGAAUCCGGGAGAGGGAUGCGGAAUUCCAGGUGUAGCAGUGAAAUGCGUAGAGAUCGUAAGGAAGACCAGUGGCGAAGGCGAGUUUCUGGACAGGUACUGACGCUGAGGCACGAAGGCCAGGGGAGCAAACGGG